AAGACCUUGCGCUUUUGGAGCGGCCGAUGUCUGAUUAGCUAGUUGGUGGGGUAAUGGCCUACCAAAGCUUCGAUCAGUAGCUGGUCUGAGAGGACGGCCAGCCACACUGGGACUGAGACACGGCCCAGACUCCUACGGGAGGCAGCAGUGGGGAAUUUUGGACAAUGGGGGCAACCCUGAUCCAGCCAUGCCGCGUGAGUGAAGAAGGCCUUCGGGUUGUAAAGCUCUUUCAGCCGGAACGAAACGGUUACGGUUAAUACCCGUGACUACUGACGGUACCGGAAGAAGAAGCACCGGCUAACUACGUGCCAGCAGCCGCGGUAAUACGUAGGGUGCAAGCGUUAAUCGGAAUUACUGGGCGUAAAGSGUGCGCAGGUGGUUUUGUAAGUCAGAUGUGAAAUCCCCGGGCUUAACCUGGGAACU
rnacentral:rRNA from 1 species